rnacentral:tRNA from 1 species
CGGACUAUGGCGCAGUUUGGUAGCGCACUACACUGGGGGUGUAGGGGUCGCAGGUUCAAAUCCUGUUAGUCCGACC